rnacentral:rRNA from 1 species
UACGAAGGGGCUAGCGUUGCUCGGAAUCACUGGGCGUAAAGGGUGCGUAGGCGGGUCUUUAAGUCAGGGGUGAAAUCCUGGAGCUCAACUCCAGAACUGCCUUUGAUACUGAGGAUCUUGAGUAUGGGAGAGGUGAGUGGAACUGCGAGUGUAGAGGUGAAAUUCGUAGAUAUUCGCAAGAACACCAGUGGCGAAGGCGGCUCACUGGCCCAUUACUGACGCUGAGGCACGAAAGCGUGGGGAGCAAACAGG